GACUGCUAGUAACUGAUUAAAUGUAAAAUCUUGUCAUCAGAUAUUUCAUGAAAACUUAAUGACUAUGCCUUGUUGGAUUACUCAGCAGGGAGGUAUGGUUCAGCAGGGAGGUAUGGUUCAGCUGGGAGGUAUGGUUCAGCUGGGAGGUACGGUUCAGCAGGGAGAUACGGUUCAGCUGGGAGGUAUGGUUCAGCAUGGUUCAGCUGGGAGGUAUGGUUCAGCUGGGAGGUAUGGUUCAGCAGGGAGGUAUGGUUCAGCUGGGAGGUAUGGUUCAGCUGGGAGGUAUGGUUCAGCUGGGAGGUACGGUUCAGCUGGUUCAGCUGAGGGGUAUGGGAGGUAUGGUUCAGCUGGGAGGUAAUGGUUCAGCUGGGAGGUAUGGUUCAGCAGGGAGGUAUGGUUCAGCAGGGAGGUAUGGUUCAGCAGGGAGGUAUGGUUCAGCUGGGAGGUAUGGUUCAUGUUUUGUAAGGCUGCAGAAUGUCUGUGACAGAAUAUCAUGCCAUAUAGAUUGCUUUCAGUCGGCCAUCAGAUUGUUUGACCUUUUCAGCUUUGACCCCAUGUAGAGCCUGACCUCCCAGGACAUGUCGAGCCGUAGAGGACUGAGCCUCAGCCCACAGGUCCAGGUCCAGCUGUUUAUCCUGCUCCAGUAUCAGACCCUGGUCCACCACUGCAAGGCCAUGGUCCCCAGAGCAGUUAACCAGGCCAACCUUAAAAACACACCAGGAGCACCUGGUAACCCAACCUCAUACACACUAGGAGCACCAGGUAACCCAACCUCAUACACACUAGGAGCACCUGGUAACCCAACCUCACACACUAGGAGCACCAGGUAACCCAACCUCAUACACACUAGGAGCACCUGGUAACCCAACCUCAUACACACUAGGAGCACCAGGUAACCCAACCUCAUACACUAGGAGCACCAGGUAGAACAUCUCUCUCUCUCGAUCUCAAUCCUUCUUUAUCUUUCACUCGCUCUCUCUCCCUCGCCUGCACUCUCUCUGUCUCCCUCCCCAUCUCUCUCUCUCUCUGCCACCCCCACUCUCUUUCUCCCUCCCACCCCCACUCUCUUUCUCCCUCCCCAUCUCUCUCCCUCUACAACUACCUGGAAUUCUACUCUGUCUACUCUUUCACCAAAAGAGACAUAUAUAUUGUUUAUACAUCCAUCCAGACAUGAUGUAAACUAGCUGUCUCUCAGUCUCUCUCUCCCCAUCGCCUGUGCUCUCUCUACUCCCUCACCAAACAGCCAUAUUGUUUCCAUACAUAAAUCCGUCCAUCCAGAUGCAGACAUGAUGUAAGCUAGCUAAGCUGAGCUGCGUGUUGCCCUGGCCUCUGAGCUUUAUUUUUUAGUCAAGUAAGCUCAGAUUUUUGCUUUUUAAGGUUUGUAGAUUAAAUUGUGUCUCACAGGAUCUGAAUGAAUGCGGCAGGAGAUCAUCCCUUUUUUCAUUGACAUUGUGGUGUAAUCCUCUCUCUCACUAUUCACAAUCUUCCAGACUAUGUUUCAAACCCCUCCGUCCCUGACUCCAAUGCUGGCACACCGUCCAACCAGAACCUCUGUACGACAAGAAGAACCAAUCAGACUCCAGAACAUUGGGAUACUAACCCAAUGAGAGGACAGAUCCAGCUAAUUAUACUCCAGAAUUCUGAGACCCCAACCAACCAGAACCUCUGUAGGACAUCAUCAGCCAAUCUCUGAUGUACUCUGGACAAUGGAAUAUCCAACCUGAGACUGCACAAUUCAGCUUUGGCCCUGAUGGACUCAAAGCAAGCUGAGGACAGCCAUACCAUAACAAAAUCCAUUGGCUAGAAAGCCAUGAUGAUGACUUCACAUCAAUGUCUGGGGUUGAUCAUAGACUGCUGAUAUAGCUGGACGGAGUGAUACUGUACUGUCACAACGUGGCCCUUUUGGGUGUAUAUCGUGGCUACCCCCCUCUCUCACUCUCUCUCCCACCAUAAGUUUUACAACGGUCAUAAAUUCUUGGGAGAAACUCUCUUCGCUGCCAUGGAGUAUUGAGGGAUAGAGCCUAUGGAGAACAAAUACAUUCUUGUUGCCAAAACUCCUAAUCCCCAAAAUUUGAGAAUUAAACAAUAUUUAUAGUUUUGAGAAUGUGGGAAUGGUCCAUGGACACUUAAGGGACAGUCAUGUCGAGUUUGUUUCAUUUGGUGAUCUCAUGAGGGACAGGAAACACACGUUACUGUGUCUUUGGUUGCGUAAACUUCUCAAUUAUGGGGUUUGCAUCUGAUGGUUGUAUAAAAUAUAUGAGUGAAUAUGAAACAAUUUGUGAGAAGAUGUAAUGUGAUGUUGGCCUUCUAAAUGAGAUACUUGUUUAGAUAUAAAGUUUUAACUGGUCAGUGGCCACACCCCUUGAGCUCAGCCAUCACAUCAUGCGUCAUGGCCCCUUCAUGGGUAUAAAAUCACUCAUGACAAAAUGUACAUUUUAUGCCAAAGAGACCCAAAGUAAGCCGGACGUCUCAAAUGGUUAAGAAAUCUACAAACUAGAGUAAAAAAUGCAGGAACGGGAGUUCCCACUUUGAAAUGGCUAUUACUACUCCAAACCAAAACAUGACAGAUGACGCUGGUGUGUAGAGGAGUUUGAACCAGAGACCGGAAAACAUGGAAGCUGUCGCUACAUGUUGAAAUGGUUGGCAACUCUACCAAAGGACAAGACCAGAGAACGUGGAGAUCAUUCCCACGUUGAAAUGGCUAAGAAAUCUACAAACUAAAGAACAAUUAUUCAGGCUGCAACUGUUUAAAUACUUUAGUCUGAUAAACACAUCCGAUCUAAGAACAUUUCCGAAACAACCUAAAACUCCGACAGAAUUUGAUCAAACUGAACAAACUGACUAUCCAGCAGAUGGCCUGGCAAUCGCAGACAACCAAGACAUACACUUGUAAAUAUGUAAAUUGCAAUUUAUUUUUGAAUGAGCGGUUGUUCAUGUUCAAAGUAUUAGCAAUUUCUAGGAGUGUAGUUAUCAGCUCUGAGUCUCCCGCUCUUGAGCUGUCCCCACCCCUUUCCUUUGUCUACCAAGCCAUCAUUGGCUUAGCCCACUAGGGGCUUUUCUACCAUGUCAGUAACCAAUGUAUGACCUAUUGUGUUUGUGUUUAUGUAAUUCUGUGAUUGAUUACAUUAGUUAGUAAAUCAAUAAUUAAGCCAAUUUGUAUAUCGCUGAUUCAUGAUCUAUCUUAGGGUUCGUGCAGAUAUCCAAGGGUUUGCUACGUUCAGUAAUGAGACUGAUGAGGUAAUAAUACAUGAAUAAGUGACUGUAAUCAAUAAGAUAUGACAAUAUUGGAAGAGUUCAUUUGGGAAAUAAAUACUCUUUAAAAAAAAAACUCCCUGUGGUGCCCCUACUUCCUAGUUAAUUAAAGUUAAUUGCGCAAUUAAAUUACAGAGAAUUGAUUUGAUAACAGUAUUCACAUUUAAUGAUAGUCAACGCUAUGACCGUACUAUACAGGUAUCUGUUGAGCGUGACUGAACGUCAACAUGAGCAUGACUUUGGAGAAACACUUAAGAGGAACGGGCAGGCAGAGUUGCAAAGAUAGAGCCAUAUCUCAGACUGGCCAAUAAAAAGAAAACAUUAAGAUGGGCAAAAUAACACAGACACUGGACAGAGGAACUCUGCCUAGAAGGCCAGCAUCCCGGAGUCGCCUCUUCACUGUUGACGUUGAGACUGGUGUUUUGCGGGUACUAUUUAAUGAAGCUGCCAGUUGAGGACUUGUGAGGCGUCUGUUUCUCAAAUUAGACACUCUAAUGUAUUUGUCCUCUUGCUCAGUUGUGCACCGGGGCCUCCCACUCCUCUUGCUAUUCUGGUUAGAGCCAGUUUGCGCUGUUCUGUGAAGGGAGUAGUGCACAGCGUUGCACGAGAUCUUUAGUUUCUUGGCAAUUUCUCGCAUGGAAUAGCUUUAAUUUCUCAGAACAAGAAUAGACUGAAAAGUUUCAGAAGAAAGGUCUUUGUUUCUGGCCAUUUUGAGCCUGUAUUCGAACCCACAAACGCUGAUGCUCCAGAUAUUCAACUAGUCUAAAGAAAUCCAGAUGUAUUGCUUCUUUAAUCAGAACCACAGUUUUCAUCUGUGCAAACAUAAUUGCAAAAGGGUUUUCUAAUGAUCAAUUAGCCUUUUAAAAUUAUAAACUUGGAUUAGCUAACACAAUGUGCCAUUGGAACACAGGAGUGAUGGCUGCUGAUAAUGGGCCUCUGUACGCCUAUGUAGAUAUUCCAUUAAAAAUCAGCCUUUUCCAGCUACAAUAGUCAUUUACAACAUUAACAAUGUCUACACUGUAUUUCUGAUCAAUUUGAUGUUAUUUUAAUGGACAAAAAAAACAUGCUUUUUUUUCAAAAACAAGGACAUUUCUAGGUGACCCCAAACUUUUGAACAGUAGUGUAUGUAGCUAUGCACCUUGUGAUACAGUGAAUUAUAAAUGAAAUAAUCUGUCUGUAAACAAUUGUUGGAAAAAUGUCUUGUGUCAUGUACAAAAUAGAUGUCCUAACCGACUUGCCAAAACUAUAGUUUGUUAACAAGAAAUUUGUGGAGUGGUUGAAAAAUGAGUUUUAAUGACUCCAACCUAAGUGUAUGUAAACUUCCGACUUCAACUGUACAUAUAGUUCCAGUGAGUCAGAAGUUUACAUACACUUAGUUGACUGUGCCUUUAAACAGCUUGGAAAAUUCCAGAAAAUUGUCAUGGCUUUAAAAGCUUCUGUCACACCCUG
ensembl:lncRNA